rnacentral:sRNA from 1 species
UUAUGCCACGCUCAGCCUAAGAUAAGGGGUGAGUGCUGUAUGGCAAAAUCAAGACAUAUGGCCGACAUUAUUUCUGGAACAACCCAUGGGUUGGCUCGCUCGGCCGACCCUCCAAAUUACAAUUAAAAAUAAUUAAAAUUUGUUUAUCAUACGUUCGGCGUAAUUGUUUACUAUAAUUAGAUAAAGAAUCCAUUUUAAUUCCCUCAACUAAAGUAUUAUUGACAAAUACUUUAUUCUAUAUACAUUUAAAACUCCAA